UACGUAGGGUGCGAGCGUUGCCCGGAUUUAUUGGGCGUAAAGAGCUCGUAGGCGGCUCAGUAAGUCGGGUGUGAAACCCUCAGGCUCAACCUGGGGACGCCACCCGAUACUGCUGUGGCUAGAGUCCAGUAGGGGAGUGUGGAAUUCCCGGUGUAGCGGUGAAAUGCGCAGAUAUCGGGAGGAACACCAGCGGCGAAGGCGGCACUCUGGGCUGGUACUGACGCUGAGGAGCGAAAGCGUGGGGAGCGAACAGG
rnacentral:rRNA from 1 species